UACGUAGGGGGCAAGCGUUGUCCGGAAUUAUUGGGCGUAAAGCGCGCGCAGGCGGUUAUUUAAGUCUGGUGUUUAAACCUUGGGCUCAACCUGGGGUCGCACUGGAAACUGGGUAACUUGAGUACAGAAGAGGAAAGUGGAAUUCCACGUGUAGCGGUGAAAUGCGUAGAGAUGUGGAGGAACACCAGUGGCGAAGGCGACUUUCUGGGAUGAUCCUGACGCUCAGACACGAAAGCUAGGGGAGCGAACGGG
rnacentral:rRNA from 1 species